CAAGAGUCAGAGGCUCAACUGACUCAGCUGCCCAGGCGCCCCAACUCUGUGCAGUCUAAUGCAACUUCCUGGUCAAGUCUAGCUCCGCCGCUAAUCUAUAAACUCAGCAAAAUCGUGGAUCGUGCCUGCAAGUGAAUUCAGCUGCAAAACAGCUUCCCAGACUGGAUUCUGCAGUGGAAUCAGCUGGAAGGCAUUUCAAAGGCAAAAGUAUUUGAAGUGAAUGAACAUAUUGGGUUUUCCUGGAGGAAGGUCUUCACAGGCCAGAAUUGUGGGUGUCUGGGUGAGCCCUGGACAGUUUCUGAGAGAAAAUUUCCUUACCCAAUGAGACCAGGUUACUAUAGUUCUCCAGCAUCACGUCCUGGUACAAGUUUCUCUGAAAAGGACCCAGCUUUCUCCACUCAUCCCGCGUAAAGAGCACA